ensembl:snoRNA small nucleolar RNA SNORD60
AGCCGGUGAUGACAAACCACACAAAACUUUUCUGACACCUACUAUGAGAGCUGAACUCCAGCUCCUGAUUCUAAUCUUAUUCUGAGGCUG